ensembl:misc_RNA Y_RNA Y RNA
AGCUGGUCCAAAGGUACUGUACUAUUUCAACCGAUUGUUCACAGUCAGUUACAGAUUGUCUUUUCCUCCUUCUCACUACUGCACUUGACUAGUCUUUU